UAAAAUCUGCUCCAUGUAUAUAUAAAUAGCCGCAGAAUAGACUGUGCUAAGGUAGCAUAAUCAUUAGCCUUAUAAUUGAAGGCUUGCAUGAAAGAUUUAACAAUUUAAUUUCUUUUUUUUCUUAAAAUAUUUAAAUUUAAUCAAAAAUAAAAAUGUUUUUAUAAAAAAAAAAGACGACAAGACCCUAUUGAACUUAACUUUAGUUUGGCUGGGGAAGCCAAUUAAAAACAAUUUUAAUUUAAAUCAUUUUAUAAAUUUCCAAUAUAAUUGAAUAUAACAAGUUACCAUAGGGAUAACAGCGUAAUAUUUUUUAAAAGUUCUUAUUUAAAAAAAUGUUUGCGACCUCGAUGUUGAAUUAAUUUAACUUUUAAACGCAACUGUAUAAAAAGUAGGACUGUUCGACCUUUAAAGAAUAAAA
rnacentral:rRNA from 1 species